rnacentral:lncRNA from 1 species
AAAAAUUAGCCAAGCACAGUGGCAUGUGUCUGUAGUACCAGCUACUUGGGAGGCUGAGUGAAGAGGGAGGAUUGCUUGAGGCCAGGAGUUGGAGACCAGACUGGGCAACAUAGCGAGACCUCAGCUUGGAAGUAAGGAAGGAAAGAAGGGAGGGAAGGAGGGAUGAAGGUAGAAAGAAACGGGACAAGAUGGACUCCUGAGGCCAUCCUAAUUCUGGAACACAAUACAAUGGCCUCUGUAUGUUAGGAGGGCUCAUUUGGCUUCUCUCUAAGCCAGCAGUCCACAUCUUUUUGGCACCAAGGACCAGUUUUGUAGAAGACAAUUUUCCACGGAUGGGGGCGGGGGGUGGGGGUGGGAGGGGAUGGUUUCGGGAUGAAACUGUUCCACCUCAGAUCAUCAGACGUUAGAUUCUCGUAAGAGGUGCCCAACCUACAUCCCUUGCACGUGCAGUCCACAAUAGGGUUUGUGCUUCUAUGGGAAUAUAAUGCCACACUGAUCUGACAGGAGUCAGGGCUCAGGUAGUAAUGCUCACUCACCUGCCGCACACCUCCUGCUGUGCGGCCGGUUCCCAAUAGGCCAUGGAAUGCUUAUUGGUCCACAGCCCUGGAGUUGGGCACCCCUCUUCUAAGGCAGAAGCUUCUACUGUCUUAGGAGCAGCGUCCUGGCCUCCACAGCAGGGAGAGAGCAGGAAUACCCAGCCACAGAUACUGGUCAAGAUAUUGAUCAACUUCCUACCAUCAUGGUGGAGGCAAGCCUGGAGGCCUCUGGGUGGUCAUCAGGUCACCCCAGCACAUUUUCCUGCCCCGGACUCCUGGCCACGCUGAGGUUGCUGUGAGCAGACACGAUGUGCAGGGUCAUGGAUGUGCAGCUCAAACUCCUUGACAAGCGGGAGAUUUAUUUUAUGGCCCAAGCAGUUUGGAGACAAAAUCGUAAGGUGCUCACCCAUCCAGUGUCUCUUCAGCCGGCACUGGGAGGUGUCAAACUGACCACAUUCGACUGCCCCUUCCGCCCGCAGAAUAUGGGUCUGCGUUUCUCUUUCCCUCUUGGUGGCCAAGAACUGUCAACAUCCAGCUGUGGCUCUGCACUCAGCCGCCGCUCAGCCUGCUCAGGUUGAAAGGUCAAACGUUGUCUGGAAUUGGCAGCCCAGCUUACUAGCAGCUCUUCUGUCUUCAGAGUGCAGUGAGGGGAGCUGUCAGAGGGCUGAGGCAAGGACCAGAGAGGGAACUCCUGCGACAGAGAAAGCUCAGCCCUGGUUAUGUUCUGGAGGGAGCAUAGCAGGGUCUGUCCCAGGAACUUUAUUAGUUAGCGGUUAAGAUCCUCAUCCACAGAAAAGCCGGUAGGAAUUAGCCAGGUGGUGUGUGCCUAUGGUCCCAGCUACCCAGGAGGGUGAGGAGGGAGGACUGCUUGAGCCCAGGAGGUUGAGGCUGCGGCUAGCUAUGAUUGUGUCACUGCGCUCCAGCCUGGGUGACAAAGCAAGAUCCUGACUCAAAAAAAAAAAAAAAAAAAAAAGGAAGAAAGAAGAAAGAGAGAGAAGAAAGAAAGGAGAGAAAGAGAAGGAAGGAAGGAGAAAGGAAAGAAGGAAGGAAGAAAAGGAAGAAAGAAUGACAAAGAAAAGAAAGAAAGACGAAAAGGAAAGGAAAAGAAAAGAAAAAAGAAACAAAAGCAGGAAAGUGAGGGGAGAGGGCCAGGAAGACAGAAGACAGGAUGGGCAAGAAGGGUGGGAAGGAUUCCCACACCAGAUUCAGGAGUGGCUCUGCAUUGGGAAAUCCAUCUACGACUGCUGGGGACUUGGUUUUGCAAACAUGCACAGAGAAACCUUCAUCCACCUCUGUGCAAUGUUGGACUGAAGUAGAAAUGAGCCGCUGUUUUCUGGAAGCACCCCAUUUCUUUGAGCUGAUCUUCUCUAAUAAUGAAUUCUGGUGAAGCCUGCCAUUCACAGCACCCUGCCCUCCCAUCUGUAGGAGGUGGGAACAGGACCCAGGCCAGUUGAUCAGAGAGCUCCCUUGCCCUGGGAUGAGCAUGUGACCCAGAUGUCUCAAUCAUGGGGAAGAUCCUCUUGCCUGUUAUAGCCACUAUGCUGGAAGAACAGGAUGUGGGCUUGCUGGCCGCCAUCUUCCAGUCCACGCUGGGAACCCAUCUGCAGGAGGAGGGAAGGAGGACAACCCAGUUUGAGGGAGCAUAUGGACAGCAGCUAUAGAAGGCUCCAUAUGUGCCCAGUGCUAGAUCCACCCCAUCCCUUCCUGUUCCAUAAAUCCAUACAUCUUCUCUCACUUUUGCUUACCCUAGUUUGAGUUACAUUUCUGACACCUGCCACCAUAAAAGCCCAAAUGAUUACAGAGAAUAUUUGGCUACAGGAAAGACCCUGCAGUCUGUGAAAAAAGAGGCUGCUGGUGCAUAGUCAUCGUAGACCAGUGCAAAGAGUGAAACAGAAACAUCCAGCUUAAUCUGCAAAAGCCUUUUUGGAUCCUUGAGAGGCGCUCAUUAACUUACAGCAAAUUGGUGAGCUGAUACUCUUCUUUCAUCCAGGUGAGUGCAUUAACUAGGUUAAUGUUCCUGUCUCAAGGGACUGCUGUAGGUUAGGGUGAAUGAAUGAAAGAAGCAAGUUUUUAAACAGGAAAAAGGCUGCAGGGAAGUUGAGGUGACAAGCAUCGUUUCACCCCCAAUGGAAGGUGAGCUUGUCUGUUAGGUCCCAGGGACUGAAUUGGAGUUCCGUGGUUAGGGAAUGACCCAUCUCAACAAGCAACUUCCAUCAUCCUUCCAUGGGGAUCUGAUUAAGGUCUUCUCCAGAAGGAGAUGGCCUCGUGAGUUGGGGCUUUUUAAUCUCCCUGUCCCUCCUCUAGAAGGGCAUUGCUACUGGCCUUGCCCUGCCAAGUCUUCAGUCUACAACAACACUGCCCGGCUUCAGACACAGCCCAGAUCCUUCCCAGAUCCUUCCCAGACACAGCCCAGAUCCUUCCCAGACAAAAAGUCCUUCCGACUUUUUGCCCUUUCGGCCCAGCCUUCCCUAUCACUUAUGCUGAAAUUGGGAACGUUUCCCAAACCAACAAUUUCCCAGUCCACAAUGUUCCCUUGCUGAGUGUCCCCACAGGAGAGACAGGCAGCCUGAUAAAUAAAACCAGUCAUAAAACCUCCCUGCCUUAGCAAAGGGACUGCUUUGCCAGGCUACCGUCACAUAGCACUCCUGUCUCCCGUUUGACUUCAUAUAGUGAAAAUUGUCUAAAAGAUAAGGCAGGAGCUCUGGUUGACACCCCCCCUGCCCCCGCCUCAUAGAUCUCUCUCUAGAAGCAUUGGAAGAGGCCGUCUCAAAAAAGAAAAAUAAAAUAGAAGCAUUGGAGGAAAGAUGUGGUUUGUAGUGAAACAAAUUGGAAGUCAAGCUCAGCCUCAACCACUUACUUGCUUCUGACCUUGGCAUGAAGUUGCAGAAGCUGACCUGGGUCCUAACUGUAAAAUGCAGAGGAACUCUAUCCAUGAGGAAGCUUUGUGAAGUCGAUUCAUUGCUAAUGUCCCUGUAGUGUCCACCACAGGAAACAUUACUAUUUGGGUUUUGUGACCCAGGAAUCCAUAUUUACCUGGCGGCAACGACACAGCCCUCACCUUUCCAGACCUCAUCUGGUGGCCUUGUAAUCCUGGAGCUGAAGCUGCCUACACACAAGCAAUCGGUCGCAGUGUAUCCGUGCAGGGUCCCAACCCACUCCAGGAUUCAUUUCGGGAUGGCUUCCCCUCCCUCAGCCAGGUCUCCGGCCCCGUUGCUCUGCAUGCUUGCCCAUCUCCAUCUCCACGGCGAUCAUGUGUUUGCAGGGAGCCAUCAAUAUCCUCUUCUCUUACGCUUUCUGAAUGGGAGAGUCAAUCUCAAUGGGAAGCUAGCAGGGACUUGGGUGGACAGGUGUCUCACGCUGGAUGGGCGAAUCCAGGUGGGAGGGAGGGUGGGCUUGCUGUCAUUUGUUGGUGGGUCAUGGGAUUUGCUAUGAAGCUGGAGGGAAAAUCUGGACCCCUGAAGAGGGGUCCCUUCCCUUCCUAAGGGAAGGCCUCAGCUCCAAGACUGCAGGAGGAGCUGGGUAGCCAUUGGAUAUGGCUAACGCACAUGAAUCAUGACCAGGGUGCACUGUUUGGACAGCAAGUCAGUGGCCCAAGGAGAGAGAGGUUAGUGAUGGGAAGCGUCCUGAGACUCACUGAUGCAUCUUUACAUUUUUCUCUUUAAGCAUUAGGAAGAGGCCGGGUGCCGUGGCUCACACCUGUAGUGCCAGCGCUUUGGAAGGCUAAGAUGGGCAGACUGCUUGAACUCAGGAGUUUGAGACCAGCCUGGGCAAUGUGUCAAGACCCCAUCUCUACAAGAAAUUUUAAAAUUAGCCAGGCAUUGUGGUAGGUGUCUGUGGUUCCAGCUACUCAGGAGGCUGAGGCAGGAGGAUUGCUUGAGCCUGAGAAGUUGAGGCUACAGGGAGCUGUGAUCUCACCACUGCACUCCAGCCUGGGCAACAGAGUGAGACCCUGUCUCAAUCAAUCAAUCAAUCAAGAAAUAUUAGGAGGAGAAUUUGUUGAUGUCUCUUUUCUGUCAUAAGCUCGGCUCUCCAAGAGCCUUUUCUUCCCAGGAGGACAUGCUGGUGUUUCAUGAAUCUAGGACUUCUUGCCUGAAGCUUGUAAAGUGCUAGAUGGAAUGAAAACAGCAGCAGUAAGAGCAGGCUCUUAUGCAACCUUGCUACACACAAGGCAUUGCUCUAAGUGCUUUGCAGGGGUUAAGAGAUGCAGCUGAGUAGCUGAGGACAGUCUAGGGGUGGGGUUUCCAGAGGCUGUCAGGGGAGUGGCCCCCAGUCUCCCUGGUGGAAUCCCUGACCAUUAAUCACACACAUAAGUUUCACUCCACAAACAUGGGUUGUAAAAACAUUACAAUCUAGCCAGGCGCAGUGACUCAUGCCUAUCAUACCAGUACUUUGGAAGGCCGAGGCAGGAGGAUUGCUUGAGGAGUUCCCGACCCGCCUGGGCAACGUAGCAAGACCCCCAUCCUACCAAAAAAAAAAAAAAAAAAAGGCAGGGUGUGUUGGUGUGCACCUAUAGUCCCAGCUACUUGGGAGGCUGAGGCAGGGAGAUUGCUUGAGCCCAGAAGUUCAAGGCUGUGGUGAGCUAUGAUUAUACUACUGCACUCCAGCCUGAGCAACAGAACAAGACUCUGUUUUUUUUUUAAGCCAUAAUCCAUUAUUUUUUUCUAAAUUAAAUGGAAUGUGUUGUGAACCACAAUCAUUUAUUUUAUUUACUUAUUUAUUUUUGAGACGGAGUCUUGCUCUGGCGUCCAGGCUGGAGUGCAGUGGUGUGAUCUCGUCUCACUGUAACCUCUGCCUCCUGGGUUCAAGCAAUUCUCCUGUCUCAGCCUCCUGAGUAGCUGGGAUUACAGCUGUGCACCACCACACCUAAUUUUUGUAUUUUUAGUAGAGAUGGAGUUUCAUCACGUUGUCCAGGCUGGUCUCGAACUCCUGGCCUCAAGCGAUCCACCUGCCUCAGCCUCCCAAAAUGCUAGGAUUACAGGCGUGAGCCACCAUGCUUGGACCUAGCCACAAUUAUUUAAUACCAGGGCUCCCUGCCAUUGCUCCCCAGAGCUGGGAGAAGGUCUCAGGAGCAUAUUGGGUCAGGUAUGUGUGGAAAGGCCCUCCAGGCUCAAAUCCACACUGGGCCUGCUCUGUGCCCUGACUCCAAGCUCCAGGAGCCCUCAAAGGUGGCAGCUCCACUGCUCAUGAGCCAAGCUUAGGGACCGGGGCCCUUCCUAGCAGCCAGAAAGAGCCUUAUUCUUAGUUGUUUUUUUUUUUUUUUUUUUUUUUUUUUGUAGAGACAGAGUCUGGCUCUGUUGCUCAGGCCAGAGUGCAGUGGUUCGAUCAUAGCUCACUGCAACCUCAAACUCCUGGGUACAAACAAUCCUCCUACCUCAGCCUCCUGAGUAGCUGGGACUACAAGCGUGCACCAUCACACCUGGCUAAUUUUUAUAUUUUUAAUUUUUAAUUUUCUGUAAAGACAGGGUCUUGCUAUGUUGCCCAGGCUGGUCUCAAACUCCUGGCCUCAAGCGAUUCUUCUGCCUCGGCCUCCCAAAGUGCUGUGAUUACAGGCAUGACCCACUGUGCCUGGUUCUGUUUUUAGUACCAAGGGCCCUCAUACCCCCUGUCUCUUCUUGGGACUCUGCCAAGUCCCAGGCUCCUUCUCAGCCUUGGGGACGGUACCCAGAUCAGCACCUCCACUUCCAUCUCCCCACCUCACCCCAAACCCUUCCCUCUGGCAUCUAGAGCCAUCCUAAAGUUUCUCUUCUUGAGUCUAGCCCUCCUGGGUAUGCUUGGGGACUGAAAUGCUCAAACUGGCCUCACCUCUUGACACUGUAAUUGUUCCUUAUCUCCCAUUAAACAGGAAUCCUGCUUUGUGUAGUUCAGUGCCUGCUGCCAAGUCAGAGCUGUGACCUCAAUGAAAGUGGCCCAGCCACAGCAAACCUCAGUUUCCAUAACAGUCCUGGGAUCCAAUGUGGCUUUCACACUACAUGUCACUUCACUCUGUUAUCUCUGACAGAAAACCAACUCAAACUGGCUUAAGCAAAAAGGGUACUCACUGGGCCAUGUAACCAAAAAGUGUAGGCAUACAUGUGGCUUCAGGAAUGGCUGGAUCCAGGCACUCACAUGUGGCAUCGGGAGUCCCUCUCCUGGCUGUUGGUUUCAGUUUUCUCUGCAGGGGUUUCAUUCAAGCACUGGUUCCCUCCUCAUAGUGGCAAGGUGGCUGCCCAGGACAAGAGGCUUAUAGCCACGGGCUCAGCUACUUAAGGAUAAGUUCCAUCAGAAGCCCAAGUUGAGGCCGGGCUUGGUGCUCACACCUGUAAUCCCAGCACUUUGGGUGGCCGAGGUGGGUGGAUCACUUGAGGUCAGGAGUUCGAGACCAGCCUGGCCAACACAGUGAAACCCUGUCUCUACUUAAAAAAAAACAAAACAAAACAAAAAAAAAAACCAUGAAAAUUAGCUGGGUGUGGUGGCACGUGCCUGUAAUCCCAGCUACUUGCAAGGCUGAGGCAGGAGAAUCACUUGAACCUGGCAGGCGGAAGUUGCAGUGAGACGAGAUCACGUCAUUGUACUCCAGUCUGGGCAACAGAACGAGACUUCGUUGGCAAUGACUGGGUCAUCUGUCCAGUCCUGAACCGGUCACUGUGUCAGGUAGAAGCAUUGUUUGAUUGGCCAGGCCUGGGACACACGGCCAUCUCCAGACCUAGGAAUGGCAUCAUCUCUACCCAAACCCCGUGAACCAAGAGUUGGGGAGGAGCAAAGCUUCAGAGAAAACUCUGGGCCCUGUCAUCAAGCAGAGGAGGAAAGGAGGCCACACAGACUGAGACAUCAAGUACCCACUGUGCCCUCACCACCAGCUCCCGCCCUGGCCAGUGCACUCCUGGACCAUCUCUCCUCCCCGUCUUGUUCACAGUCACCCUCUCACCCCAGCAGAGAUCAGGCCAGGGUACUGGUGGCAAGUGAGUGAAGGGUUUCAGCAAGGGGGUCCCCACCUUCCAGGCACAGUGUAAGUGGACCCCCCACACUUGGGGGCUCUCCUGGGUUGCACAGUGUCCUCUGAAAAUUCACAUCCACCUGGAACCUGCAAAUAUGACCUUAUUUGGAAAUGGAGUCUUUGCAGAUGUUGUCAAGAUAAGAUGAAGUCAUACUGUUUUAGGAUGGGCCCUCUAUAUGGCACGACUGGGGUUCUUAUACGAAGAGGGACCCUGGCACACAGAUGCAUACAGGGAGAGUGCUGUGUGAUGAGAAAGGCAGAGAUUGCAGUGAUGCUGCCACCAGCCAAGGAGUCACCAUCAGCCAGGAGAUGGGCAUGGAUCUGAUUCUCCCUGGGAACCUCCAGAAGGAGCCAACCCUGCCAACACCUUGGUUUUGGACUUCUGUUCCCCGCAACUGUGAGACAAUACAUUCUGUGGUUUUAAGCUUUAUGAUAAUUUGUUACUGUAGCCCUGGGAAAGGAAUACAAGGGUAGACAGACACUGAUCAAGUAAGCAAACAAAUGUGAAAUUGCCCUGUGACAAGGGAGGUGCGGGGUGCCUGUGUUGGGGAAGAAUUCUCUGAGACUUGAAGUCAGAGAAGGAGUUAGCUAAUGGGGCCGACAGGGUUCUGCACACGCAGCUCACGGCCCAGAUCUUGUUGGCCAAGUGUUUUUGCAGGGAUUAGGAACUAAGAAUGGUUUUGCAAGAAGAACAUCACAGGCUGAGGGGACAGCAUGGGCAAAGGCCAUGAAGUGGGAGGCGCCCUCUGUGAAACCAACAAGCUUUCAGCCACGUGGGUCUCUCUGACGCGUUGCCUCAGCCACAGAGGGCUUUAAAAAGCCCCGAAACUGGACAGGUGUCACUGCCUGUGGCAGUAGCGGCCAUUUGGCGCCUGUGGUUUCAACUCCACCCGUUUCACAUGUCUAUGUUACCAGACUGGCCCCUGAAGGGGAUCUGUGUGCCAGGCCCUGACCUGCCGGGCUUUGGAAACAUCCUCGACAGUGUCCCCUGACCUGCGCCCCGCCUUGUGGAGUGAGGCCUGGUUGCCCAAGCUGGCUGGGCCGGGCUGUUUGUUGCUUCCAACAAACAUAGGAGAGAACGUAUGGCUGCUUUUUAUUGCCAGUGAGAGUUCCGCGAGGCCUGGCCCGAGAUGUGGCUGGCGUGAGGGGUCCCGGACCUGCUGUGCUGGGGACGCACCCAGUUCUGUGUCGCUUGGUCCAGUGAGGACUCGAGCCCCUUGGAGGCGGGGCCUCGGGCUGCAGGGGCGGGGCCCCGAGCCGCCUGGGGGUGGGGCCUCAGGCUCUUUGGGGGCGGGGCCUCAAGCUGUCUGGGGACGGAGCCUCCGGCCGGCUGGGGGCGGGGCCUCAUGCCUAAGGGGCGGGGCCUCGAGCUUUCUGGGGGUGGGGUCUCAAGCUUCAGGGUCGGGGCCUGGAGCCGCCUGGGGACGGGGCGAUCUGUUGGGGAGGAGGUUCUCGAACUGCUGAGGAGGAUCGCAGUGCUUUUGCUUCCUCUAGGAGACCAGCUGCACAGGCUGGAACAUGCCAUCUCUAUGCCUGUUUUCCCGUCGAUAAAUCCAGAGACAUUACUCUCAUCAUUUCUUCCUCUGUACACAAUAUUCAUAUAUGUAACCCCUUGGUAAAGCAGUUGUAAGAAUUAAACAAGAGGAAUUGCUCUUUCAUUCAGCAAAUAUUUUUUGAGCAGCUACUAGAUGCCAGGCACUGUUUUAGACGCAAGUGAUACUUCAGGAAACAUAAUCAGAC